CAGACAAUAAACUUUCGGCUCCCUACUACGCAGGCGAGAUUUCAAUGAUACUGUGAGCUCCUGCAAACAAAACGACGACACUUUGAUUGUAAUAUACACCUUCAUCAAGAAAAAUGGCGCAGGCCAAUUACCGUAUCUACGAUUUUAAUCUGCACCGUCAAAAUAGCGAAAAUCAUGAGAGUGCAGGGAACGAAUAUGGACCGCCGCUACACCAAAGUUUCAAAUGUUAAAGAAGUAGAUCUACAAACGCAACGAUCAGAGUGAACGAAACCCUCGAUGGAGGAGAAGCGUCGAGAGGCCGGAAGUCUGCCGCCGGCGAGCUCUUCUGCUGGGACGGUUACAGCAAAGGUGACUGAAACGGAGCCUAAAUCGGAGCCUCCGUCGUCUCGCCGGAGAGCCGGAGGCCAGAAGAGGAAAUCCAAUAACCUCAGCGCUUCUAAUUCGACGCCGUCGAAGCGCCUCGCCCGCGAGAAAGCUUUAGCUCCUCCUCUCGCUUCGAUCCACAAUGGUCCUUGCACCAGAGCUCGCCAAUCUCCAAACAACGUUUCAUCGGCUGCUGCUGCCACUGCCGCGGCGUCUGGUGCCUUGCAGAAGUUGGAUCAGCCGGAAGCGGCUCCAGGGGCUUCAUCCAGUGGAGCUGGGCUGACUGCAGAAGAAUUGAAUGUGAAAAAUGAAGAUUGGGAGGCCUUGGAGGCUGAGAUGGCCGCUGAGUUUGAAGCUAUAAGGUCUCGUGAUGCUAAUGUUCAUGUGGUUCCGAGCUCAUCAGGUUGGUUUUCAUGGACAAAAGUUCACCCUCUUGAGGCGCAGGCAAUGCCUUCAUUCUUCAAUGGAAAGUCUGAGAACCGGAAUCCUGAUAUGUACAAACAAAUACGUGACUGGAUUAUAAAGAGAUUUCAUGGAAAUCCAAACACGCAAAUUGAAGUAAAAGAUCUGUCAGAACUCGAAAUUGGAGACCUGGAUGCAAGACAAGAGGUGAUGGAGUUUCUGGAUUACUGGGGCUUGAUUAAUUUCCAUCCAUUCCUACCUGCGGAAUCUAGUGUGGCAAAUGGUGAUGAUGAUACGGCUAAACAACUGGAUUCUUCCGUUGAAAAAUUGUAUCGCUUUGACAUGGUACAAUCGUGUCCACCAGUGGUCCCAAAAGCCAAUAUGUCCGCACCAACCAUGGCAUCUGGGUUGUUUCCUGAGUCUGCCUUCGUUGAAGAGUUGGUUAGGUCUGAGGGUCCAUCUGUUGAGUACCAUUGUAACUCCUGCUCAGCUGAUUGCUCCCGCAAGCGUUACCAUUGCCAGAAGCAGGCAGAUUUCGACUUGUGUACUGAAUGCUUCAAUAACCAAAAGUUUGGCUCUGACAUGUCCUCAUCAGAUUUCAUUCUCAUGGAGCCUGCCGAGGCGCCUGGAGUAAGUGGCGGGAAGUGGACUGAUCAGGAGACCCUCCUACUCCUUGAAGCAUUGGAGCUAUAUAAAGAAAACUGGAAUGAGAUUGCUGAGCAUGUUGCCACGAAAACAAAAGCUCAGUGUAUAUUGCACUUUGUUCAAAUGCCAAUUGAGGACACCUUUAUUGAUUGUGAGGAUGAAACUAAUGUGAAUCCCCAAGAAAAUGCUGAUCCAGUUUCAGCUAAUAAUGACUCGUCUGUUCCUAAAGACAUCCCUGAAUCAACAGAGAGCAAAACUGAUGUUAGCGAGGGUCAUCCCCCAUCAUCUGCAAUGGAAACUUCAAAACCAGAGGGUCCACCUCUGUCUUCUCCAAUGGAAACUUCAAAACCUGAGAGUCAGCCCCCACCAUCCCCAAUGGAAACUUCAAAACCAGAAGGAGGCAAUGAAAUGAAAGAUAAUCAGGAGACAGGUGAAGCUUGUGCCCUGAAGGCCCUUAGAGAAGCUUUUGAAGCAGUUGGUUCUCUUCCAACGCCUGGAGCCCCACUUACUUUUACUGAUGCUGGGAACCCUGUCAUGGCAUUGGCAGUAUUCCUGACCCAAUUGGUGGGAUCUGGUCGUGCUUCUGCUGCAGUUCAUAGUUCUUUAAAAUCCAUGUCUAGCAAUUCUCCUGGCAUGCAACUAGCUGCAAGGCACUGCUAUAUUUUGGAAGAUCCACCAGAUGACAAGAAGGAGCAAGUUGGUUCUGAGAGUGCUACUGCUGAAAUGGUUGACCAGGAUGCCCACAAAGAUGAAAACAUGAAAGAUGUGAACGAGAAAGAUGAAAAACAGAAGGACGUAAACCAAAAAGAUGCAAGCCAGGAGGAUGAAAACCAGAAACAUGAAAACCAGAAGGAAUUGAAUCAAAAAGAGGAAAACCAGAAGGAUGUAAACCAGAGAGAGGAACACUCCAUAUCAAUUUUGGAGGGCAGUGAUACGUUAAAAGAUCAGAAUGAAAAUAAAAUUGAGGAUUCUGUUCCAGAAGAAAAGUUAUCGGUUCCUCCCAAUGGUGAAUGCACUGAGAAAUCACUUGCUGCAAAAGAACCAGAUGUUGUGGUUUCUAAUGACAGUGAACCUGGUAUUUUGAGUCAAUCAAGCAAUUCAGAUUUGCCGAAGGAUUGCCCGCCCAAUUCUGUGGACAAAUCAGAUGAUUUGACACCAAAGGCAGGGCUUCUGCCUAGUUCUAUGAAGGAGUCGGGAGAUGGAGCUUCAGUAAAGGACCACUCUCAACCUUCUGAGGCACCAAAGGAUGUGGAUACAGUGCCCGAGUCUCUGCCCCUACAAACAAAAGAGCCCCUGCAAUCUCUUACCUCUAACACUUUGGUUGAGAAUGGAGCAAAUACAGGCAGGGAUCAAACAAAGGAAGGUAAAAGCGAGAGCCAUGACUCAAGCAAGACAAAACCGGAUCCUAGUAUUGAUAAAAUAAAGCGGGCUGCAACUUCUGCACUCUCAGCGGCAGCAGUGAAAGCAAAGCUUCUUGCAAAUCAAGAAGAAGAUCAAAUCCAACAGUUUGCUACAUUGUUGAUUGAAAAGCAGCUGCAUAAGCUAGAAACCAAAUUGGCUUUCUUCAACGAGAUGGAAAGUGUCAUUACGAGGGUUAGGGAACAAAUGGACAGGUCUAGGCAAAGACUCUACCAUGAGCGGGCACAGAUAAUUGCAGCGCGACUUGGCUUUGCGGGUUCCUCAUCUAGACCAACAGCCCCAUCAUUACCUAUCAAUAGACCUGGAAUGAGCUUUCCAACUUCAGUUCCAAGGCCUCCAAUGGGCAUGACCUCUCAAAGGCCACCAAUGUCGAGACCCAUGAUGAUGGCUCCUUCCUCAUUAAACACACUUGUAUCUAGUACAGUGGCAGGAAGUUCAAUUCGGCCUCCCAGCCAGGAUAAACUUUCAUCAGUCGGCACAAAGUAACAUUUAGUCAAGGACAUAUGGGUGCAAUCUCAUUCAUUCUACUACAGUGUUUAUCUGCGCCCGAUUUUACUAACCAAAUCUUGGAAAGCUAUUGCUCAAGUUUGAGUUGAAGAGCCCGACAGCUACCUGUGUAGGAUUUUUGCAGGCCUGAAACCUAUUCUCAUCUCCUCUUCUGCAUCAUUAUGGGAAGAGCGGAUUGAUGCUCAUUGGCAUCCUUCCCUUGCUGGCCCCCUUUGAAGCAAAAAGCAAAAAGCAAAAGCCUUGUUUGUGAUGGAAAUUCGAGGGAAAGUAGUUUGGUAACUUAAAUAGCCCUCAGCUGCUAAGGGGGUUAAAUUUGUCCUUUCAAAGAUCUGUAUCUUUUUCUUUGACCUUGUCCAAACACCUUAGAAGCUUCAAUGUUGAAAAGUAGAGGUUUCAUUUGGA